rnacentral:rRNA from 1 species
UACGUAGGGUGCGAGCGUUGUCCGGAAUUAUUGGGCGUAAAGGGCUCGUAGGCGGUUUGUCACGUCAGGAGUGAAAACUCGGGGCUCAACCCCGAGCCUGCUUCUGAUACGGGCAGACUAGAGGUAUGCAGGGGAGAACGGAAUUCCUGGUGUAGCGGUGAAAUGCGCAGAUAUCAGGAGGAACACCGGUGGCGAAGGCGGUUCUCUGGGACGGUACUGACGCUGAGACGCGAAAGCGUGGGGAGCGAACAGG